rnacentral:lncRNA from 12 species
UAGGACCUUGUCCUUUUCAAGUACUGACUACCUCCAUGGAGAGAGGGUCCACCACUGCUCUGUGCAGCCUGUCUCAUGCUCAACUCCCUUUCCUGGAAGAUUUCUUCCCUCUGUCUCCAGCCAGUAUUUCCUGGGGUGCAGCUCAUUGCUGUUUCCUGCUCAUGCUUUGCUGUGCACCUCUCAGAGAAGGUUCCUGUGGAGAAGAAAUGCCUGGGGGUCAGAAAAGGACCCUGCUCAUCCUUCACAUCCCUGUACAUCCAGUCCUGACUCCAGACCUGGCCUUUGCUGAUUAAAAGACAAGCAAACUACUUUUAG